UCGCCUGUUUAUCAAAAACAUGGUUUUUUGAUUUAAUAUUUUAAAAUUAGUUCUGCUCAAUGAUUUUCGAUUAAAUAGCCGCAGUAUAUUAACUGUGCUAAGGUAGCAUAAUCAAUUGUUUUUUAAUUAAAAACUAGAAUGAAGGAAUUGAUGAAAUUAAAACUGUCUUAAUUAUUAAUUUAAAAUUUAAAUUUUAAGUUAAAAUUCUUAAAUAAAAUUAUGGGACGAGAAGACCCUAUUGAAUUUAAUAUAUAAAUAUAUAAAGUAAAAUUGGGAUAAUAGAGUAUUAUAUAUAUAUAAAUAUAUUUUGUUGGGAGGACAUUUAAAUAUAAUUAACUUUAAUUUCAAUUUAAAAAAUUAAACAUUAAUGUAUGAAUAAUUGAAUAAUUUAUAAUUAAAAAAAUUAUUAAAGAAUUAAUUACCUUAGGGAUAACAGCGUAAUAUUUUUAAAAAGAUCUUAUUGAUAAAAAUGUUUGCGACCUCGAUGUUGAAUUAAAAUAAAAAUUCAAAUGAAGAAGGUUUAAUAUUUUAGUCUGUUCGACUAUUAAAAUUUUACAUGAUCUGAGUUUCAGACCGGA
rnacentral:rRNA from 1 species